GGAUGUUCCAGUUGAUCGCAUGGUCUUCUGGGAAAGCUUUCGCGGUAUGGGAUGGGGUCGCGUCCUAUCAGCUUGACGGCGGGGUAACGGCCCACCGUGGCUUCGACGGGUAGCCGGCCUGAGAGGGCGACCGGCCACAUUGGGACUGAGAUACGGCCCAGACUCCUACGGGAGGCAGCAGUGGGGAAUAUUGCACAAUGGGCGCAAGCCUGAUGCAGCGACGCCGCGUGAGGGAUGGAGGCCUUCGGGUUGUAAACCUCUUUUAUCGGGGAGCAAGCGUGAGUGAGUUUACCCGUUGAAUAAGCACCGGCUAACUACGUGCCAGCAGCCGCGGUAAUACGUAGGGUGCAAGCGUUAUCCGGAAUUAUUGGGCGUAAAGGGCUCGUAGGCGGUUCGUCGCGUCCGGUGUGAAAGUCCAUCGCUUAACGGUGGAUCCGCGCCGGGUACGGGCGGGCUUGAGUGCGGUAGGGGAGACUGGAAUUCCCGGUGUAACGGUGGAAUGUGUAGAUA
rnacentral:rRNA from 1 species